rnacentral:rRNA from 1 species
UGCGCAGGUGGGCUUGUAAGUCUGUGGUGAAAUACUGCCGCUUAACGGUAGAACUGCCAUUGAUACUGCAAGGCGUGAGUAUGGUUGAGGGAGGCGGAAUGUGUUGUGUAGCGGUGAAAUGCAUAGAUAUGACACAGAACUCCAAUUGCGAAGGCAGCUUACUAAGCCAUUACUGACGCUGAGGCACGAAAGCGUGGGGAGCGAACAGGAUUAGAUACCCUGGUAGUCC